UACGACGAGUUUGAUCCUGGCUCAGGACGAACGCUGGCGGCGCGCCUAACACAUGCAAGUCGAACGAGCGAGAGAGAGCUUGCUUUCUCAAGCGAGUGGCGAACGGGUGAGUAACGCGUGAGGAACCUGCCUCAAAGAGGGGGACAACAGUUGGAAACGACUGCUAAUACCGCAUAAGCCCACAGGUCGGCAUCGACCAGAGGGAAAAGGAGCAAUCCGCUUUGAGAUGGCCUCGCGUCCGAUUAGCUAGUUGGUGAGGUAAUGGCCCACCAAGGCAACGAUCGGUAGCCGGACUGAGAGGUUGAACGGCCACAUUGGGACUGAGACACGGCCCAGACUCCUACGGGAGGCAGCAGUGGGGAAUAUUGCACAAUGGGGGAAACCCUGAUGCAGCGACGCCGCGUGGAGGAAGAAGGUCUUCGGAUUGUAAACUCCUGUUGUUGAGGAAGAUAAUGACGGUACUCAACAAGGAAGUGACGGCUAACUACGUG
rnacentral:rRNA from 1 species